rnacentral:rRNA from 1 species
GACGAACGCUGGCGGCGUGCCUAAUACAUGCAAGUUGAGCGAUGAAGAUUGGUGCUUGCCCCAAUUUGAAGAGCAGCGAACGGGUGAGUAACGCGUGGGGAAUCUGCUUUGAGCGGGGGACAACAUUUGGAAACGAAUGCUAAUACCGCAUAACAACUUUAAACAUAAGUUUUAAGUUUGAAAGAUGCAAUUGCAUCACUCAAAGAUGAUCCCGCGUUGUAUUAGCUAGUUGGUGAGGUAAAGGCUCACCAAGGCGAUGAUACAUAGCCGACCUGAGAGGGUGAUCGGCCACAUUGGGACUGAGACACGGCCCAAACUCCUACGGGAGGCAGCAGUAGGGAAUCUUCGGCAAUGGACGAAAGUCUGACCGAGCAACGCCGCGUGAGUGAAGAAGGUUUUCGGAUCGUAAAACUCUGUUGGUAGAGAAGAACGUUGGUGAGAGUGGAAAGCUCAUCAAGUGACGGUAACUACCCAGAAAGGGACGGCUAACUACGUG